rnacentral:ncRNA from 2 species
GCGAAGCGACAGGGGUGCUCGCCCGACAGACCCGGGCGAGCUGAGAUCACACCCUUUGAACCUGAUCCGGCCAGCACCGGCGAAGGGAGUCGUAUGGAUUGCGUG